rnacentral:rRNA from 1 species
CCCUUAGAUGUCCGGGGCUGCACGCGCGCUACACUGAAGGAAUCAGCGUGCUAAAACCAUUGUCGAAAGGCAUUGGUAAACCCAUUAAAAUCCUACGUGAUUGGGAUCGGGAAUUGCAAUUAUUUCCCUUGAACGAGGAAUUCCCAGUAAGUGUGGGUCAUAAGCUCGCGUUGAUUACGUCCCUGCCCUUUGUACACACCGCCCGUCGCUGCCCGGGACUGAGCCGUUUCGAGAAAAGCGGGGACCGCUGCUGUCGGGGCUUUCGGGCCUUGGCUUCGGUGGAAACCGCUUUAAUCGCAGUGGCUUGAACCGGGCAAAAGUCGUANCA